ACCGAAGUCCAAACCUCAAAUGACUGAGCCACCCAGGCGCCCCUAGGGAUUCUUUAUUAUUAAGUCUUAGCCUUAGCUCAAACUCAUUUUCCUGGAAAUUUCACCUCCAAUCUGCUUGUGAACUCCGGCUGAGGGCUGCGGCAGCUCCCCGUUUCUCUGAGGCCACAUAAACAGGCCUGAAUUCUCUCUGUGAGGACCUUCCAUCCUUUGUCCUCACAGCUGCCUUCUCCCUGGAUCCUGUGAGGGGUGAAGCCAUCCCUGCUGAUACCCUGGUUCAAAGAUUCCUCUGGAAAUGACCAAAUUCUCAACUGACCAGUUCAAGUAAAUUCCUGCACUAGAUUUAUCAGUGUUCAUAAGUGUACCACCAGUGCAUAUUUGAUAAAUGAUUAAGUAAAUACCUUGAUUACUUUAUUAAGAAA